CAAACAGGUCACAAAAGUAUCAGCUCAACACGGAUUAAUCCGUAAGGCUCUAUUCCACAAAUGGGGCUUGAAGUAUGAUAUAUAGUAUCUGAAUAAACCGCACCUCACCCCUA
rnacentral:lncRNA from 1 species